UUUCCGUAGGUGAACCUGCGGAAGGAUCAUUCAUAAUAAGUGUUUUAUGGCACUUUUUUAAAUCCAUAUCCACCUUGUGUGCAAUGUCAGUGUUGAUUUUUCUCUCGAGAGGAUCAACCCCAAACAUCAACUAUAUCUCAACUCUUUGUCUUAAAAAUAUUAUGAAUAAAACAAUUCAAAAUACAACUUUCAACAACGGAUCUCUUGGCUCUC
rnacentral:misc_RNA from 1 species